rnacentral:tRNA from 1 species
GGGGCUGUAGCUCAGUGGUAGAGCACUUGCCUAGCAUACAGGAGGCAUUGAGUUGGAUCCUCAGCACCA